GGUUGGUGCAAAAGUAAUCGCGGUUUUUGCCAUUACUUUCAAUGGCAAAACCAUGAUUUCUUUUGC
rnacentral:miRNA from 10 species